rnacentral:rRNA from 1 species
GACGAACGCUGGCGGCGUGCCUAAUACAUGCAAGUAGAACGCACAGUUUAUACCGUAGCUUGCUCCACCAUAAACUGUGAGUUGCGAACGGGUGAGUAACGCGUAGGUAACCUGCCUGGUAGCGGGGGAUAACUAUUGGAAACGAUAGCUAAUACCGCAUAAUAUUGAUUAUUGCAUGAUAAUUGAUUGAAAGAUGCUAUUGCAUCACUACCAGAUGGACCUUCGUUGUAUUAGCUAGUAGGUGAGGUAACGGCUCACCUAGGCGACGAUACAUAGACGACCUGAGAGGAUGAGCGGCCACACUGGGACUGAGACACGGCCCAGACUCCUACGGGAGGCAGCAGUAGGGAAUCUUCGGCAAUGGACGAAAGUCUGACCGAGCAACGCCGAGUGAGUGAAGAAGGUUUUCGGAUCGUAAAGCUCUGUUGUAAGAGAAGAACGGGUGUGAGAGUGGAAAGUUCACACUGUGACGGUAUCUUACCAGAAAGGGACGGCUAACUACGUG